rnacentral:rRNA from 1 species
GCGAACUUGGCAGAGAUGCCUUGGUGCCUUCGGGAACGCUGAGACAGGUGCUGCAUGGCUGUCGUCAGCUCGUGUUGUGAAAUGUUGGGUUAAGUCCCGNAACGAGCGCAACCCUUAUCCUUUGUUGCCAGCGAUUCGGUCGGGAACUCAAAGGAGACUGCCGGUGAUAAACCGGAGGAAGGUGGGGAUGACGUCAAGUCAUCAUGGCCCUUACGAGUAGGGCUACACACGUGCUACAAUGGCGCAUACAAAGAGAAGCGACCUCGCGAGAGCAAGCGGACCUCAUAAAGUGCGUCGUAGUCCGGAUCGGAGUCUGCAACUCGACUCCGUGAAGUCGGAAUCGCUAGUAAUCGUGGAUCAGAAUGCCACGGUGAAUACGUUCCCGGGCCUUGUACACACCGCCCGUCACACCAUGGGAGUGGGUUGCAAAAGAAGUAGGUAGCUUAACCUUCGGGAGGGCGCUUACCACUUUGUGAUUCAUGACUGGGGUGAAGUCGUAACAAGGUAGGCGUAGCGAG